UUCCGGUUGAUCCUGCCGGAGGUCACUGCUAUUGGGAUUCGACUAAGCCAUGCGAGUCGAGAGGGUUCGGCCCUCGGCCGACGGCUCAGUAACACGUGGAUAAUCUACCCUAAGGUGGAGGAUAACCUCGGGAAACUGAGAAUAAUACUCCAUAAGUCUAGGAUACUGGAAUGUACUUAGGCUGAAAACUUCGGUGCCCUAGGAUGAGUCUGCGGACUAUCAGGUUGUAGUCAGGGUAAAGACCUGACUAGCCUACAACGGAUACGGGUUGUGAGAGCAAUAACCCGGAGAUGAUAUCUGAGACACGAUAUCAGGCCCUACGGGGCGCAGCAGGCGCGAAAACUUCACACUGCGCGAAAGCGCGAUGAGGGAAUCCCAAGUGCUUGCACGUAAGUGUAAGCUGUUUCUAUGUCUAAAACGCAUAGAGAGUAAGAGCUGGGUAAGACGGGUGCCAGCCGCCGCGGUAA
rnacentral:rRNA from 1 species